rnacentral:rRNA from 1 species
UGGGGAAUAUUGCACAAUGGGGGAAACCCUGAUGCAGCAACGCCGCGUGAACGAAGAAGGCCUUUGGGUCGUAAAGUUCUGUUCUUGGGGAAGAAGAAAGUGACGGUACCCAAGGAGAAAGCCCCGGCUAACUACGUGCCAGCAGCCGCGGUAAUACGUAGGGGGCAAGCGUUAUCCGGAAUUAUUGGGCGUAAAGCGCACGCAGGCGGCGUGACGCGUCAGAAAUGAAAUCCCCGGGCUCAACCUGGGAACUGCUUUUGAAACGGUCAUGCUUGAAUCAUGGAGAGGGUAGCGGAAUUCCGAGUGUAGAGGUGAAAUUCGUAGAUAUUCGGAAGAACACCGGUGGCGAAGGCGGCUACCUGGCCAUGUAUUGACGCUCAGGUGCGAAAGCGUGGGGGGCAAACA